AUUUGCCUACGGGAGGCAGCAGUGAGGAAUAUUGGUCAAUGGGCGCGAGCCUGAACCAGCCAAGUCGCGUGAGGGAAGACGGUCCUAUGGAUUGUAAACCUCUUUUGUCGGGGAGCAAAAGACGCCACGCGUGGCGUUCCGAGAGUACCCGAAGAAAAAGCAUCGGCUAACUACGUGCCAGCAGCCGCGGUAAUACGUAGGGUGCGAGCGUUAAUCGGAAUUACUGGGCGUAAAGGGUGUGCAGGCGGCUGAGUAAGACAGAUGUGAAAUCCCUGGGCUUAACCUGGGAACCGCAUAUGUGACUG
rnacentral:rRNA from 1 species